rnacentral:misc_RNA from 1 species
GGUAAAACAUCAGAAAUGAGUCUUCUGGUUUUCAUGUUUGUUGAAAAAUAUGGGGAUGUUUCAAAGAAUGUUACAUUCGCUAAAAUAAAAUAUUUAUUUGUUGUUGGAUCAUAGCAUUUGUAACCUUUUUGAAAGUGGGAGUAUUUGAGAAAGACACACUUAACAGAUUUAGGUUGGAGCUUAUCUUUUCUAGGAGUGUGAUCAUGGACAAAACAAGUACAUCCAAAGACAUGCAAUGACAAAU